GAGAGAGAAUGUUUGAAGGGUUCACCUAGCACUGCGUGGAUGUUUGGGAUGCAGAAUGGGUUCCUCAUACUCCAACAGCGAUUAUAAUGCUUUUUUGUGUGUGUGGUUUUGAGCAGACUGCUGUGCGCCGCAUUUAAAGAAGGUGACCCGAUCUGUGCCUUUCAGGAAGGAAGUGAUCCGAGUUUUGUGCUUUUGUUGGAUCUUCGCUUAAGUGUGAUGUAUUUGGGAGUUGGCAUCUCGCUGCAGGGUUAUUUUAACGUGUGAAAACUUUCAGGGGUUAGAGUGACUGAGUACAAGGAGCAAUGCAAACCAUCAACCUGGUAAAAGACACUCUUUGGUCAGCCCAAAUCUUGCUGGUCUUCCAGUGCAAAGAAUUGUUGAUGACCGAGUGUUGCAGACUGGCACAUUCCAAGGUCUGUGACUACAUGCUGAGGGACGCAUUAAAGCUUGGGGAAGCCGCCACAAAGACUCGAUGGGGAAAGGCUACUGUCUAAGGCACUUCCACCAAAAUACGCCAAGGGGCUGGAAACUGUAAAAUCCCUCAGGUUGUACGCACAGGAGAGUGCAUGAAAUGUAAAUGUAUACUGUAAAUAUGAUCUGUACGUCAUGAGGCACGUCAUUCAUUGUAUUGAAAUAAACUGAUCUGUAUUGCACUACAUGUAAUGUCAAACUUGAACUGUUACGUUCUUCCACAAAUUUUAUGAAUAAAAUAUAUUUUUAGGGGCACAAACAAGGAACAAUGCAAAAGAGGACUUGCUGAAUUAAUACCAUUUGUACAAAGCCUUGCCCUUUCAGAUUCUUGUUCGCUGGGAAUUCGGUUAAGACUGUUCAGACUCACCUGACACUAGAUCUUCACAGCCAGGGGAAGAGAAGGCCUGCAUUCUAUCUGCCUGGGUUGAAUUUGUCGGAUGUCCCAGAAGUGAAAGAGCAGUGUGAUAACUAAUGGUGCCAGCCAGGCCACAGCUUUAAUUAGACUUGAAGAAAUAAAGCUGGAGAGAGUUGGAAUUAAAAGGGCAAAAAAUACUCGACACACUCAGGAGGACUCUCUGAGGGAAUGCCUUGCCAGAGGGAAGUAGGAUAUACCGAUGGACUUUUCAGCUGGCCACCUGUUUCUCCUCCCAGACACUCACUUAAGCACAUUCUGGAGAUGACAAUCACAUCCAUUUUUAUUGGGCUGUAAAUUUGUACUGGUUAUUUAUAAAUAUGGUUUAAUCUUU